GGGGAAUAUUGCGCAAUGGGCGAAAGCCUGACGCAGCGACGCCGCGUGAGGGAUGAAGGCCUUCGGGUCGUAAACCUCUUUCAGCAGGGAAGAAGCGCAAGUGACGGUACCUGCAGAAGAAGCACCGGCUAACUACGUGCCAGCAGCCGCGGUAAUACGUAGGGUGCAAGCGUUGUCCGGAAUUAUUGGGCGUAAAGAGCUCGUAGGCGGUCUGUCGCGUCUGCUGUGAAAUCCUAGGGCGUAUCGCUGGUCGUGCAGUGGGUACGGGCAGGCUAGAGUGCGGUAGGGGAGACUGGAAUUCCUGGUGUAGCGGUGAAAUGCGCAGAUAUCAGGAGGAACACCGGUGGCGAAGGCGGGUCUCUGGGCCGUAACUGACGCUGAGGAGCUAAAGCAUGGGGAGCGAACA
rnacentral:rRNA from 1 species